rnacentral:rRNA from 1 species
CCUACGGGGGGCUGCAGUGAGGAAUAGUGGUCAAUGGACGAGAGUCUGAACCAGCCAAGUAGCGUGAAGGAUGACUGCCCUAUGGGUUGUAAACUUCUUUUAUAUGGGAAUAAAAUGUGCCACGUGUGGGAUUUUGUAUGUACCAUAUGAAUAAGGAUCGGCUAACGCCGUGCCAGCAGCCGCGGUAAUACGGAGGAUCCGAGCGUUAUCCGGCUUUAUUGGGUUUAAAGGGAGCGUAGGUGGAUUGUUAAGUCAGUUGUGAAAGUUUGCGGCUCAACCGUAAAAUUGCAGUUGAAACUGGCAGUCUUGAGUACAGUCGAGGUGGGCGGUAUUCGUUGUGUAGCGGUGACAUUCUUAGAUCUCACGAAGCCCUCCGAUUGCGAAGGCAGCUCACUGGACUGCAACUGACACUGCGGCUCGAACGUGUGUGUAUCAAACAGGCUUAGAUACCCCAGUAGUC